rnacentral:rRNA from 1 species
AGAUUGAACGCUAGCGGGAUGCUUUACACAUGCAAGUCGAACGGCAGCGCGGACUUCGGUCUGGCGGCGAGUGGCGAACGGGUGAGUAAUAUAUCGGAACGUGCCCAGUAGCGGGGGAUAACCACGCGAAAGCGUGGCUAAUACCGCAUACGCCCUACGGGGGAAAGGGGGGAUUCUUCGGAACCUCUCACUAUUGGAGCGGCCGAUAUCAGAUUAGCUAGUUGGUGAGGUAAAGGCUCACCAAGGCGACGAUCUGUAGCUGGUUUGAGAGGACGACCAGCCACACUGGGACUGAGACACGGCCAGACUCCUACGGGAGCAGCAGUGGGAAUUUGGACAAGUGGGGAAACCCUGAUCCAGCCAUCCCGCGUGUGCGAUGGAAGGCCUUCGGGUUAGUAAGCACUUUGCAGGAAGAACGCGUGCCUAAGACGGACGU